rnacentral:misc_RNA from 1 species
CUAAGGAUUUUUACAUGACGUACGUUUUGACACUUUGUUCAGUUUUGAGAGUUCAAUCUCUCAAUUAUAGAAAGCACACUACUUUCUUCUUAUUAGAUAAGAAGAAUUUUGGUUGCGAUUGUUCUUUGAAAACUAGAUAACAGUAAUUGCUGAGGAAAAGUGAAACUUUUCUUUAAUCAAACCAAUAAAUAACACAACAGUAUGUUGUACCAUUUAUUCGCUAAUG